GCAAAACCAAAAAAAAAAAAUUGAAAAUGGCGGCAACGGAUUCCAGAAGGUCUUCAAGCGGACCGGUCAUCCGAUCCCUUUCUCCGUCCGGCAGAUUCCACCUUCCUCGCUCUCCUUGUUCAAAUGCUUUCGCUUCUUCCACCUCCAGCUUCGCCUCUCGCUCUUCCACUUUAUUUUCUAGCCACCACCAAAACCACAGAUCUGCAUCCCCCACUCGUGUUAACUUGUACGGGAGCACUCCG
rnacentral:lncRNA from 1 species